rnacentral:rRNA from 1 species
AGGGCGGGUGCUUACACAUGCAGUCGAACGGUGAAGCCCUUCGGGGUGGAUCAGUGGCGAACGGGUGAGUAACACGUGGGAAAUCUGCCCUGCACUCUGGGACAAGCCUUGGAAACGAGGUCUAAUACCGGAUAUGACCUUCCUCCGCAUGGGGGUGGGUGUAAAGCUCCGGCGGUGCAGGAUGAUCCCGCGGCCUAUCAGCUUGUUGGUGGGGUAAUGGCCUACCAAGGCGACGACGGGUAGCCGGCCUGAGAGGGCGACCGGCCACACUGGGACUGAGACAGGCCCAGAUACAUACGGGAGGCAGCAGUGGGGAAUAUUGCACAAUGGGCGAAAGCCUGAUGCAGCGACGCCGCGUGAGGGAUGACGGCCUUCGGGUUGUAAACCUCUUUCAGCAGGGAAGAAGCGCAAGUGACGGUACCUGCAGAAGAAGCACCGGCUAACUACGUGCCAGCAGCCGCGGUAAUACGUAGGGUGCGAGCGUUGUCCGGAAUUAUUGGGCGUAAAGAGCUCGUAGGCGGCCUGUCGCGUCGGAUGUGAAAGCCCGGGGCUUAACCCCGGGUCUGCAUUCGAUACGGGCAGGCUGGAGUGUGGUAGGGGAGAUCGGAAUUCCUGGUGUAGCGGUGAAAUGCGCAGAUAUCAGGAGGAACACCGGUGGCGAAGGCGGAUCUCUGGGCAUUAACUGACGCUGAGGAGCGAAAGCGUGGGAGCGACAGGAUUAGAUACCCUGGUAGUCCACGCGUAACGUGGACUAGGUGUGCGACAUCACGUCGUCGUGCGCAGCUACGCAUAAGUUCCCGCUGGGAGUACGGCGCAGGCU